rnacentral:rRNA from 1 species
UAGGGAAUAUUGCACAAUGGAGGAAACUCUGAUGCAGCAACGCCGCGUGAGUGAAGAAGGCCCUUGGGUCGUAAAGCUCUUUAGCCUGGAAAGAAGUGCCCAUACGUUAAUAAUAUGUGGGUGUGACGGUACCAGGAGAAUAAGGACCGGCUAAUUUCGUGCCAGCAGCCGCGGUAAUACGAAAGGUCCAAGCGUUACUCGGAAUUACUGGGCGUAAAGCGCGCGUAGGCGGCUUUGUAUGUCGAUUGUGAAAGCCCCGGGCUCAACCUGGGAACUGCAGUCGAAACUGCAAAGCUUGAAUGUUGGAGAGGUUGGGGGAAUACCUAGUGGAGAAGUGAAAUUCGUAGAGAUUAGGUGGAACACCAGAGGCGAAGGCGCCUGACUGGCCAAACAUUGACGCUGAGGCGCGAAAGCGUGGGUAGCAAACAG